rnacentral:rRNA from 1 species
UACGUAGGGGGCAAGCGUUGUCCGGAUUUAUUGGGCGUAAAGAGCGUGUAGGCGGUUAGGUAGGUCCGUUGUGAAAACUCGAGGCUCAACCUCGAGACGCCGAUGGAAACCAUCUAACUAGAGUCCGGAAGAGGAGAGUGGAAUUCCUGGUGUAGCGGUGAAAUGCGCAGAUAUCAGGAAGAACACCCGUGGCUAAGGCGGCUCUCUAGUACGGUACUGACGCUGAGGAGCGAAAGCGUGGGGAGCGAACAGG